CAUCCGGAAAGGAACAAAGUUUUCUCCGAGCAGCGGGACCCCCACGAUCAUACAUCUUAUCCUUUGGAUAGAGGCUAAAAUGCCUAGGGGCGGAGUACCCCUUUAAUACUUAAAAGCACAUGUUCUAGCUAAAGUAAGCUAAACUUCAUUACAUGACAGACAUAGGCAACUUUCAGAGCACUUUUUUUUUUCUUUUUUUAUAGCAUUAGUCAUAUGAUCACUAUUAAUCACAGAGUUUGCAGGGUUAAAUAGCCAUCAGUACUGAAGUAAGCUGCUGUGCCAAUACAAUCCCCAGGGUUGAGACAGUUGACAGCAUCCAAUAGAAAAAAAGUUACAUAUUUAUUAGUGUUCCCGAUAUGUCUUAGCAAUAUUUCGACCCUCACAAGGUUGCCUGGUCUGUGUGAACUAAAGAUAAGAAACUCAGACAAGAAGUCAGAAGCGUUUUAGUGUUUUAUUCUUCCUGUGAGAAGUCGUGUGAUGCCAGUUUUACUGCACUGACAUACUAGGCGGCAUAGACCCAGACACUAACAGAUUUUGGAAAAUGUAACUGUUUUCUAUUAAUACCAAAGUUUCCCCUAGUUGCUAAUCAUGCCUAGCAGUAUCUCCUCUUGUUAGAGGGCAUGUCCACGCUUUACACCUUUUACACUUUACGUGUAGAAUUUAUCUGCAUAAAUAGAGUUGCACUCUGUGUUAUACUCCAGAGCAGUGUUUUCCAACCAGGGUGCCUCCAGCUCAAGGAAAUCUCCAAGCAAACAAACAAUCUACAGAAUAGUGAAUGCUGCUCUGGAGUAUAGUACUGGCUGUAAUUCAGUAACAGCACAGGUAAAGUAAAGCAUCAAAUUAUUUCAAAUGUGCCUUAUCUUCUAAUGGAACACUGAUACUUCAGGUCUGUUUCAGUUUUUAGUGAUGGAUGCCAUCUCACCGUUAAACACAUAAAAGCAAUUUGUCUGAAUUUGUGCCAAGAAUGUCACAAUGGCACUGAAUUAGGCAGAAACAAGUGCUGAACUCAA